UACGGAGGGGGCUAGCGUUGUUCGGAAUUACUGGGCGUAAAGCGCACGUAGGCGGCUUUGUAAGUUAGAGGUGAAAGCCCGGGGCUCAACUCCGGAAUUGCCUUUAAAACUACAUCGCUAGAAUUGUGGAGAGGUAAGUGGAAUUCCGAGUGUAGAGGUGAAAUUCGUAGAUAUUCGGAAGAACACCAGUGGCGAAGGCGACUUACUGGACACAUAUUGACGCUGAGGAGCGAAAGCCAGGGGAGCAAACGGG
rnacentral:rRNA from 1 species